UUGCCUCAGAACCAGAAAUAGGAAAAGAAAACGAAGGCAGCUCAUUGCCAGACCCUAGAAUGGGCACUAAGGAGUCUGAAAAUUCUAAAUUUAAAUUUGACUUCCCAUAUCCUAAGGAAGCAGUAUUUGUCAAGAUAGGUAGUAGAAAAUAAUUUAUUUAAUCACUUUUAGUUUCACUCAUCAUUUAAAUAUUUGGAAAUAUUUAAAUAUUAGGGUUUCACUCUUGCCCUAUACCCCACACAUGGUAGGAAAUUGCCUUUUGCUUGUUUGUUUGUACCUUUGAUCUGAGAUGAUAGGUUGUUGGUGCAUGCAGAGGGCUGUUAGACCAAACUAAAGGCUUCAAAGGGGCUACAAUAUCUUGAGAUGAAUGGGUCUCUUUACAUUUGGACAUAAGCAACUUUCCUAAAAAUAUUCUGCCAUGAGAAUCAUCGGAGGUCAAAGAACACUUCAUUGCUGUACCUCUCAGUCUUAAAUAUUGAGAGAUGCAGAGAAAGGGACACAGAUAUAGUUGGAAAACUUAAGGAGGAAGAUUAAGAAAAGGAGAGAAAAAGACAAGCAGGAAGAGAGAUCUAUCCUCUUAUUCUGCUAUACUGACCAAGUAUGUCCAUAUUCCUCAAAGAAUCCUCAAAUAUUACAAUCCCUUCUCUGUUCUCUUAAGUCUUUUCUAAU